AUAACUAUAAAAAAAAGAAAAAUUAGUUUUGUAGAAAGAAAAUAGAGAAAAAUAAGAAGAGAAAAGAGGAGAGAGUAUGUGAAAUUGGUUAUAUAGUUAAUUUUGAGUUUUUGUUUGGUUAUUGAAUGCAAAUUUCUUUGUUUAAUAAGAUCAUCAGAAUUAAAAAAAUAAAAAAUAAAUAAACCAUUGAAAAAAUGAAUCUACGAAUACUGUGUCAUUGUCCCACUCCCACAUUUUUUUUUUGCUAACAAUCCCACUCCCACAUAUUCGACUUCUG
rnacentral:lncRNA from 1 species